AAAAAGACAAACCCUUGAUUUCCGUGUCUAACAUUUGACUGUUCGUUUUAUAUGAAACUUUUUUAUAAUUAGUAUUUCCAUUGUUGAUAGAUGAUAAAACAUGAUUAAUACUUUAUGCGUGACUUGUCUUUUUAAUUUUUUUCAUAAUUUUUUUAAAUAAGAUGUAUGGUCAAACGUUGUGCACGGAAACCCAGGAUUUUUCUUUUU
rfam:Oryza glaberrima chromosome 4 Oglab04_0277_4, whole genome shotgun sequence.